rnacentral:misc_RNA from 1 species
GAGUACCGGGUCCUUGGGCCCUUACUCCCACCCUUUGUGUACCUACCGAUUUUUCGUUGCCUCGGCGGGGUCGAUCCCCAGGGCCUGCCGGCCCUGUGGGGGACCCGCCGAGGGGACACUCCAAAACUCCUGUCAACAGUGACGUCUGAGAAACAAACAAACUAGUUAAAACUUUCAACAACGGAUCUCUUGGUUCU